UACAGAGACUGCAAGCGUUAUUCGGAUUCACUGGGCGUAAAGGGUGCGCAGGCGGUCGUGUGUGUCAGAUGUGAAAUCCCGGAGCUUAACUCCGGAACUGCGUCUGAAACUACAUGACUAGAGCAUUGGAGAGGGAAGUGGAAUUCAUGGUGUAGCAGUGAAAUGCGUAGAUAUCAUGAGGAACACCAAGGGCGAAGGCAGCUCGCUGGGACGGUACUGACGCUGAGACGCGAAAGCGUGGGGAGCAAACGGG
rnacentral:rRNA from 1 species